CUACUAAAAUCUAAUUACAAUUUACUAGAAUGCAAUAAAAAUCUUCAAAUCCAAAUACAAUUUACAUUUAAACUAAUCAAUAUAAGAAUUACAAAGCAUAUAAAAGCAUUCCUAAACAAUGAGAUGGAAAUAUCACAAAACUAACUAAAGAUAAAAAGACACCAUUAUGGAUAACCCAAAAAUCACAUCCUUGAUCCUUCAAUUGAAGAGUAGAAGUAGAAGCACUCGUGAAAGACACCAUUGAUAACCUUAGGUACAUA
rnacentral:lncRNA from 1 species